rnacentral:misc_RNA from 1 species
UACGGAAAGGGACGAGUGGUGACAAAUGACCAGUAGCGGGAAAAGCCGGGCGUACUCGGAUGUACCCACACACCUAUGACGUUUUUCGCGGGAAGUAAGAAAAUCGUGUCUGAACCUUAGACGCAGUGACGGUCGUGUUUGCUGUUGCCAAGCUCACUGAGAAGUGUCAGUACACGGUCGUUGUUCCCCGUUGAUUUAGCUCAAAGAACCUCAGUGUAUGGGACGAGAAUAUACUGGGUAGAGCCACUGUCAGCCUUUUGAAUUUUUCUUGAAGCAAAUGGUGCAAGAGGAUGUUUCUUCGGAAUGUUCGUCGUCCACAGUCAGCCCAAGUUUCCAAUGAAUGUGAUUCUCAUGCAGCAACCUUUAUCCAGAUGGGGGACAGCAAUGGAUACAUACGACCAUGGACAGCACAUCCUAAAGUACGGUCAGAGGUUUCACCAAGGAGAAUACCAAGACAACAUCUUUGCAAGUCUCACAUGCAUGUGCCUGGCAGAAACACAGAAGCUCACAUUGAUACUGUGUCAAAAUUGAAUUUCCAAAGCUAUGAAAACCUCCAUGAUCUCGGAGACACAGAAGGAUUCGGUAAACCUGGUACCGAUGAAAAUCCAAGAGUGACAACAGGGCCUCAGAUAUCUCAGGAAGAAGGUAUUUCACAGGGCACCCGUCACCUUUCAUUCGAAAACUGGGUAGAUGGCUCACCCGUGGAUUCUGAGGAAUAUGACACUGAUGUUGAAGAAGAAAAGAAGCCAGUGUCUAAGAAGAGCAACCUUCUCUCGGACCCAACUGGCAUUUUUACAUAUGAAGAACAGUGCCAGAAACAUGGUUGUGUACCUAUAUCGUAUUUACGACGACAUUUGAAUAAGAGGAAUAUCCAUAUGAGACAUCACUACCUUGGUGGUCUUGCAACAAAACCUGUGGCUACUGCUCUCAAGCGUAACACAGUAACGGAGCAUGUGGACCUGGCAGACAACUGUGUUGAGGGAGCAGGGGCAUACUACCUUGCUGACAUGCUCAAAGAAAAUAUGUUCAUUGUAUAUUUGAAUUUGGCUAAUAAUUUUAUCCGGUCAACUGGAGCAGCAGCAUUUGCUGGAAUGCUGGAAGUGAACACCACCCUGAAGACACUGUCACUGGCAGGUAAUCAGCUGCAAGAUAGAGAUGCAUGUAACUUCGUAGAGGCUCUAAAGAACAACAUGUCCCUGACCUGUCUGGACCUUAGUCACAAUGAGUUUGGAGAGAAGGGAGGAGAAAUGAUUGGCUCAGCAUUGAAUGCCAAUGAUGGUCUGACUGAUGUGGACCUCAGCUGGAAUGCUAUUAGAAACAAGGGUGCAGUAGCCAUUGCAAAGGCUUUGAAGACAAAUGCAACCUUGGAGGUUCUUGACCUGUCAUGGAACGGCUUUGGUCUCACUGGAGCAGAAUCACUUCAACAGGCUCUGCAAGUGAAUACAACACUUAAAGUGUUAGAUCUCACUAACAAUCGCAUCAAUAGUCAAGCUGCAUUGAAACUAGCUUUGGGAUUAAAGAAAAACUUUGGCCUGGAAACACUUGUGCUGAAUAUGAACCCACUGGGAGAUAAUGGUGUGGAAGCCAUCUUAAAGGCUGUGGCAACACAUGACAGUCUCAGAUUGCUGUCAAUGGAGUGCCGUGGAGGCUUGCAGACAUUAAUCAGAAGAUGAGGAUGGUUUGCUUUCAUGCACAUCAGUUGAGUGCAAGUGGAAAGUUCCAAGAAAAAGGAAGUUGGAUCCAAUGAAAUCGGAUGACUUGAACCUGAUGUCAAGUGGCAGGAAGAGUGAACAAAAAGAGACCUAACACCAGAAGAGGCUGCAUCAAAUACAAAUUUCUUCUGCCAUAUUGUGGACAACAAUGUGACUCUUAAAGAAAACCAUGCAUUCUACUUUCAAGUACAAGGACAGGUGGCCUUGACCAAAAGAACUUGGUGUGGACUCUCAAAGGGAUAUCUAUUGAAAGGAUCACAUUUGACGAGGCUAAGUGGCAUCAGAUGGUCACAAGGCUUCGCAGUUUCUGUCAGCCAUUAUUCCUGAAAAAUAUACCUGACGUGUCCAGCCAGGUGUUUCACCGUAUCAGAUUGACUGUUGUACUACCAUCUUACCAGUUGUUUUAUCCUAAGCUGACUCAGUCGAGUCAAUUCAAUGUUUCACUCAAUACGAUAUCAUACCUUUCUUUGAUAGUCAUAGAUACUUACCAUUCAGUGAGUGAAAUGUUACUUAACACCGCAUUUACGGCGACUGACCAUUCAGAUAGUAAGUCUUAAGCUUAGACAUAGGAUAUCUGCUUCUCCUUGUAAUUUCUUGAACCAUUCUAUUAAGCCAUAACAUGUCAUUUCAAGACGUUACAGAAAAUAUGUUAUGAUAACAUGGACGACAUGAUUAAAGAAAAUUGUCAAGCGUUUUUUUCUUUUAUUUUAAGUUAUUGUUACAAAAAUUAGUAUCAUGGGACUAUGAUCCUGCUGUCACAGCUAAAACAUGAAGUUGUUUAUCCAUUUAUAUGAAGUGUCAUGAUUAUUAUAUCACUGCUUUGAUUCAAUAAGUAAAACAAAAAUAGACAACCAGUAGGUGGUCAUGUCAAUAGUCAUAUUUUUCAAAGUUCAAAUUUUUGAAGAACAUAUGUUGAUUAUGUAUGGACAAAAAUAGACUUAUUUGGCUCAAUGUAUUUAAUACAAAAUUGUUAUCAUGAUACCAUGAUUAUGAAGUUUAACUAUUUAGCAAGGAACUGUCAUCAAAGAAGUAAUUUUCAUCAAUUUCUUGGUCAUGAGGAUAAAGGGGAGGAAGCAGAGUAGUCAAAGCUUUACAGAUUUUACAGAUUUUGUUCACAGAUUUUGAAAUUGUAAUUGUAAUUACACACUGCCAAAUUCUGAAAUUCUUGACACAUUUCAUGUGAGUAGUAUAGACAAUGAUGGUUCUACCCCAACCCCACUGGAGCCAGAUUUAUACCCAAUACUGCUACUACAGAGGUAAUUUUUUAUGCAAAAAUGAUGAUGCGAUUCAACAAUCGUCAUAAGACUAAACUAAAUUGUAAUGAAAAUGUUCUCUAUUAUUUCUCGUACACAUACCAUUAUUUUAAACAAAAGGAUAUUCAACAUUUUAACUAAUGUAAGCAGGAUACGACAGGAAACAAUCUAUUUUUAAUCUCCAACCAGUUCUUUGGUUUUGGCACGUUUGGCAUGGAAUAAUUGACACGCUUGUUGUCUCCCCUGUUCUAUGAACUUUUUUUUUUUCGUCAAAGCUAAUACAACUGGUCUUAUGAGAAUUGGAUCGAAUCUCCUGCUUUAUUGUAUUGUAUUUGGUUAGUUCUGACAACACUAAACGAAACUCCUCCUCGGAUAGACCAUGCUGUUGAAAUAUGAUCCUCAAUGCUAUUCAACUUUGCUUCAGCGAGUAUCAGAAUAUUAUUAUGUUUUAAUGCUUUCUUUUGCAACUUACGAGAAAUAAAUUUUAUUGCUAUUCCUGCCAGUCCUGAGACUCCGGCUGCUACUUCCAUACCAAGUACGAUAGGCGCAGCGAUUAUAGUUGAUAAUAAACCAACACUGGACACACCGAGUCCCAUAUGCCAGCUGUUACAAGCGCAAUUUUACUCAGAUCUGAGAAAUAGUCUUAUACCUAAGUAUUACCAUUCACAACCUUCAUUUGAUAAAUUUUGCACUCUUAUGUCUUUCCAAAAUGAACAUGUUAUUAAUAAAUUAGCUAAAUAUAUUUUUCUUGCUUUCAAGAAAUGACAACAGUUUUUCAAAUGUUUGCAAUAAUUCAAUUGUUUCACUAUGUAUACCCCUGAUAUUAUUUGGCGCCUGCGAUUGUUGUAAUCCACUGUAUCCAUAUUGUAUAAUGGGCCGGUGGCCUCUUUACUGAAAUAAAUUCAAUCACUCACAAGCGCUGUGUCAACUCCAUCGAGAACAUUCACAGCUCUGCGAUACUUUUUAUACAAUCCAAGUCCAAAC